GAUCGGUGAGCUCAGGAGUUCUGGGCUGCAGUGCACUAUGCCGAUUGGGUGUCCGCACUAAGUUCAGCAUCAAUAUGGUGACCUCCCGGGAGCGGGGGACCACCAGGUUGCCUAAGGAGGGGUGAACCGGCCCAGAUCGGAAAUGGAGCAGGGUGUGAGGGAAAGAGAGCAGGUCUGGGGG